AAGAAGAUUGUUAGUCUUUUUAGUUGUAUAUAUAGGAGAUUAUCCAACACGUCCCACAGAGCUUUCUUGGUGCUAUCUAGUCUUUGUUGUUUUUGGACUGUCUACUGCACUAGUGCUGGCACUGGAUCCUUCCUCUAGACGCUCAGAGUAGUACACGGGCGAUAUGCCAUAACUCCCUUUCCUACCGCUUAUUCCCUAGAUCCUUGAUUCCCCUUUCCUUUAAUCCAUCUUUUUCCAUUCGAUCUUUGCUACGUCCGCUGGUUUGCCUUCGAUCUGUGCUGUGUUAUUUUCUUCCGCUGAUUUUUUCAGUGCGUUUCUCUUUGGUGUCUUGCCCCUUUUCCCCCAAAUCUCCAUUUCCCAUUCAUUCAAUUCGCUCCCAUCUUCUAUCUGUCCGAGUUUCUGCUCCAGUUCUGGGGAAUUUAUUCUUCUGAGGCCUUUUUCCUCUCCGAUCCAUCUUCCUUUCUUGCUUGGUUCGUCGUUCUCAUCUGACCUUCCUUCAUGCUUUAUCCUCUGGAUGAAGCACCUGGUUCCAGUUUCUUCUCUGGUUCCAGUUUCUUCUCUUCGACUGUUCGUUUCCUUCUGCCGAUUCCUGCCAUGGCUAGCGACAACCCUGAAGUUCCGAUCCCCUCUGCCAUGGAGGAUGUGCCCCCUGACCCACCACCACCCAUCAUUCCACCAGAUCCACCUCAUCCCACUACUCCUCCUGAUAUGCUGUGUAGAUCUCCAAUCAUGCAUGCCCCUGCUGCUCCGAUUGGACCGCCUGACCGAACUAGCGCUUGGUCCAACCGCUCCGAUUUGGAUCGAACCAACAUCUCCACCACCAUGCCGCGGUGUUAUCAACUCCCCCAUGCCCAGCCGGCUCUGCCUGCUGAUGACAAUCUUCCUCGACACCAUCAUCAAGCUACAGGACAAUCUAUGGGGCCAGGCGUUUUGACACACCUGGCGUGGAAUUGCAGAGGCUCGGGUGGAAACCUUGGCAGUUCAACCAUGAACCAUCUCGGCCGUCUCCUGAUGUCUACCCGAGCACAGGAUGGUGUCUGAUGUUUCCUGCGACCACAGUCUACCAUCUCCCUAUGAUGUACAGCGACCAUGCGCCCAUCCUUGCGGUUCUCAACUCCCAGCGCCCUCGUAUUACUAAACCUUUUUGAUUUGAAAAUUGGUGGUUAAUGGAUAAUGAUUACCAUGACAUAGCCAGGCAGAGUUGGCAUCGCUCUUCUACACGUGAUUUCUCUCAAAAAACAAAAUUUCUUGCUGCAGAUCUCAGGAAAUGGAGGAAGAAAAAACCCAACAAUAAUGACCUGAUUGCUCAAAUUGAGAAUCAAAUUCUUGUUCAGCAAAGUCUGCCCCCAUCCCAACAAGACCACAAUCUGCAGCAGCACCUUCAUGAUAAACACUAAGAUCUCAUGGGCAAAGAAGAACAGUACCACAUCCAAAGGGCCAAAAAGAAUUGGGCGCUCGCAGGUGAUAGAAACACUUCCUUCUUUCACCAUGCUAUUAUCAAGAGAAAUAGGAAGAACAGAAUCUCCCACCUCAUCAAUCCUGACGGUUCUCACUCCACCACCCCUCAGCAACUGGCUGACAGUUUCAUCACCUACUUUACUAAUAUUUUCUCGUCUCAUAAGAACAGUCAGCAGCCUACUGAUCACACCCACUCUAAUAUUUUCAAUAAUAAUUGUGCUUCCUCAUUGCAUCUGCAUUCUCGCCCUCAUGAUUGCGCAACCAACUUUCUUAUGAUUAACCGAAGCUUGCAGGAAGAGGAGGCAGUCAACAACAAUGACACAUUCAGGUACACUUAUUCCACUCCUACCUUAAAUGAAGUAUAUGACAUCAUUAAGCAGAUGUGGAGCAAUGCAGCCCCUGGCCCUGAUGGUCUCAAUGCAGCGUUUUACAAAUCUACCUAGCACUAGGCUAAGGAGGAUAUUUAUAAAGUGGUAAAAGAUUUUUAUACACAUGCUUAUUUGCCGACUGAUUUCAACCAAACUUUCAUUUCUCUUAUUCCGAAAAAGACUAAUCCGGUUGCUCCUCAGGAUUACAGGCCGAUAAGCCUAUGUAAUGUUAUUUAUAAAAUUAUCACCAAGUCUUUGGCUAACAGAAUCAAGAAUCACUUGCCUAAUUAUGUUUGCCACUCUCAAUCUGCUUUUAUUGCUAACAGGCAUAUUUCAUCCAACAUCAUCAUUACACAGAAAAUCAUCCAUUCCUUCAACCUGACUAGUUGGAAGGAUAAAGCCUUCAUUCUCAAAAUUGACUUAGCCAAGGCUUUUGAUAGAUUAGAAUGGGGUUUCAUUUUUGAGGCUCUCUGCAGAUUGGGCCUCACUGAAAAUUUUAUUAAUCUCAUCAAAGUCUGCAUCUCUUCUCCUACAUUUGCAGUGCUAGUCAAUGAUGAGCCUACUGCACACUUUAACUCUCAACGAGGUUUAAGACAAGGUUGUCCCCUAUCCCCUUACCUCUUUGUUAUUGCGAUUAAUGAGCUUUCAAUAAGAUUGCAGGCAGCGCUUCACAACAGUAACCUUGCGGGUAUAUCACUUGGGCCCAAUGCUCCUAGCAUCCAUUCCCUUUUAUUUGCAGAUGAUCUUAUCCUUUGUGGCAAGGCAACCUUACAAGAAGCCCAAGUGAUCAAGACCAUUCUUUUUGAUUUCUGCCAACAAUCUAGUCAGACUCCUAAUCUCCAAAAGUCCUCCAUUUAUUUUAGCAAAAAUGUUUCUAAUCAUGUUAGAAAUCAAAUUAAAAAUAUCUUUCCUGUUCCUGACCUGCAACCUAACACUAUGCACUUAGGCCAUCCCCUGAUUUUUAGUCAUAGAGAUAAGAACAGAGCCUACAGUUUCAUAUUUAACAAGUUCUUUGCAAAAUUUGGAACCCUAAAAGCCAAUAAACUUAACCAUGCUGGUAGGUUACAGUAUAUUAAGUCUGUGCUUUCUUCUAUACCUAUUUAUUAUAUGUCCACUGUCCUCUUCUCCAAAUCUUUCAUUGAGAAAAUUAAUACUAUCAUUAAAAGAUUUUGGUGGGCAGGUGUUCAAGAGGAGCAACACACCAAUCCAAUAGCUUAUCGCUCUUGGGAUGACAUUUGCAAGCCUACUGAACAAGGUGGUCUUGGCAUUAGAGAUAUGGAAUUGAUCAACAAAAGUCUCAUCAUUCAUUCUGCUUGGAACAUAGCCACUAAUAAGAAUCCCCUCCUAUCUGAUAUUCUUAAAGCCAAAUACCACCCUUCUGAUUCCUUCUGGAAUUCUCCUGCCAAGGGCCCCAGAUCCAUCUAUUGGUCUUCUAUUAUGCAAAUUAAACAUCACCUGAACUCCAGUUCUAUCUACCAAAUACAUUCUGGCAAUUCCUCCAUUUGGUCUGACCCUUGGUCUUCUGUGUCGAAUCAAGUCUAUGAUCACCUCCUCAUGCCAGUGGUUAAUUCCCCUUUGCCUGCCAAAGUCUCUGAUCUUUGGGUUCCUGGCAGACUUCGAACCACCAACUUCUCUCCACCACCUUCAGUGCUCAAGCUGUUCAUUCUAUAGAAGCCACUCCUGUUGUCAAUUCUAAUUGUAAUGAUAUUCUCAGAUGGACUCCUGCAAAAAAUGGAAUCUGCACUUCUAAAUCUGUUUACCCUUAUCUUGCUCAUCAGCAGGUACAUUACCUCCCUAGUCAUGGAUCCAGAAGUAUAACUGAUGAUGCAAGAAUUAUUCUACACAAAUGCUGGAAAAGUAAGUCUAUUCCUCCUCUUCUCAAAACCUUCGCUUGGAGGCUCCUUAGACGAGCAGUUGCUACUGGUGAGAGAGCUGGGAGGUAUUCUGUCCAUAUAGACAAGCAUUGCUCUUAUUAUGGGGCUAUUGAAACUGACCAACAUUUGUUUUUUAAGUGCACUUUACCUACUGAGAUCUGGUCCACAGCUAACCCUCCCCUCAUAACUAAUAACAUUCCUGCAGAAGAAGACGGAGUCCAAUUGUCCCUACCUCUACUAAUUACCCCUAACCCAACUGAUGAAACUUUAUAUAAAUCUCUAUUCAUUCUCUGGUAUAUUUGGAAGGCUCGCAAUGAUAAUAUGUUCCAAAGGAGAACAUGGACUUCUUCCCAGAUUCAUCAAGCCGCAAAUGCCCACAUGAACACUCAUCUUGCUGCUCUCAAUGAGCAAGAUCAGAAUCAGCCAGGUACAAUUCUACUUUCUGCAGGUCCUAGUCGACUCCGUCAACAGCAGCAGGAUGCUCCAAGUGGGACAGAAGCACACACAUCAUCACCAGUUCAGCCACGAAACAAUGAAGCCUCACAUCAGGACAACAGUUGUUCCAGAAACUUGCUGGAAAGGUUUUUAGUUCCUUUUCCAACUUUGAUUCAUGGGACGCGAUGUUACACGGAUGCCUCAACACAGCCAGACCUAGCUGUCUCUCUUCCCAGAGAUGCUGGGAUAGGUGUUUUCAUUAUCAAUACUCAAAUGUCCCCUCCAUUAAGCAUUUUCAUCAAGGCGGCAAUGCAAGAUUCCACUUCAGUUCUGAUGGCGGAAUCAGCAGCUCUUGCUUUGGCAACUGUCCUGCUGGAAAAAUUGGAGCUACAGGAUGCAAUCUUUUUAUCAGAUAACCAACAGUUGGUCCAUUUCUUAAAUGGAGCAGAUCUCUCUAACCCCCCUGAUUGGAGAAUUAAACCAUAUACGCAAAUGAUCAGUCCCCUCUUGGCAGGCACAAGCUCUUCCAUCUGUAAGAUCAGCAGAUCUCAAAAUCAAAUGGCAGAUUCGCUGGCUCGACAGGCACUUACUGUUUUUCAUUCCAAUUUCCAUAGUUUCUCAGGUGUUUGUUCUAAUCCAGAACAUGUUCAAGAGUGCCCAUUACUUGUGGCACUCCAAUCUGUAAACAUUAAGUCUGUAAUGAUUCUAACAACUUCUUGCUGUUAAUCAAUUAUUGAA